GACGAACGCUGGCGGCGUGCUUAACACAUGCGAGUCGAACGCUGAAGCUCAACUUGCUGGGUGGAUGAGUGGCGAACGGGUGAGUGACACGUGAGUAACCUGCCCUCUUCUUUGGGAUAACGCCCGGAAACGGGUGCUAAUACUGGAUAUUCACUGAUUCUCGCAUGGGGGUUGGUGGAAAGGUUUUUUCUGGUGGGGGAUGGGCUCGCGGCCUAUCAGCUUGUUGGUGGGGUGAUGGCCUACCAAGGCUUUGACGGGUAGCCGGCCUGAGAGGGUGACCGGUCACAUUGGGACUGAGAUACGGCCCAGACUCCUACGGGAGGCAGCAGUGGGGAAUAUUGCACAAUGGGCGAAAGCCGGAUGCAGCGACGCCGCGUGAGGGAUGGAGGCCUUCGGGUUGUAAACCUCUUUCGCUCAUGGUCAAGCCGCAGCUUUGGGUUGUGGUGAGGGUAGUGGGUAAAGAAGCGCCGGCUAACUACGUG
rnacentral:rRNA from 1 species